GCGGCGGCUGGCCGAAUGGCAGUCCCGCUUUGGCGGAACGGUGACGGUGGUCGUGUCGCCGACGCCGUU
rnacentral:tRNA from 1 species